AUGCCUGGGGCAUCUUCCACACCUGGGGCAUCAUCCACUGCUGGGACAUCCACGCCUGGGGCAUCAUCCACUGGUGGGACAUCAUCCACGCCUGGGGCAUCAUCCACUGCUGGGACAUCAUCCACUGCUGUGGCAUCAUCCACACCUGGAGCAUCAUCCACGCCUGGGGCAUCAUCCAUAGCUGGGCAUCAUUUAUGCCUGGGGCAUCUUCCACACCUGGGACAUCAUCCAUGCCUGGGGCAUCAUCCACUGCUGGGACAUUUAUGCCUGGGGCAUCCACUGCUGGGACAUUUAUGCCUGGGGCAUCAUCCACUGCUGGGACAUCAUCCACGCCUGGGGCAUCAUCCACUGCUGUGGCAUCAUCCACGCCUGGGGCAUCAUCCACUGCUGGGACAUCACUGCUGGGACACAUCCAUGCCUGGAACAUCAUCCACUGCUGGGACAUCAUCCACUGCUGGGACAUCCACACCUGGAGCAUCAUCCAUGCCUGGGGCAUCAUCCACUGCUGGGACAUCAUCCAGUGCUGGGACAUUUACGUCUGGGGCAUCAUCCACUGCUGGGGCAUCAUCCACUGCUGUGGCAUCAUCCACGCCUGGGGCAUCAUCCAUAGAUAGGCAUCAUUUAUGCCUGGAGCGUCUUCCACACCUGGGGCAUCAUCCACUGCUGCGGCAUUCACACCUGGGCAUCAUCCAUGCCUGGAACAUUAUCCAAACCUGGGGCAUCAUCCACGCCUGGGGCAUCAUCCACUGCUGGGAGAUCAUCCAUGCCUGGAACAUCAUCCACUGCUGGGACAUCAUCCACUGCUGGGACAUUUACGCCUGGCACAUCAUCCACUGCUGUGGCAUCAUCCAUGCCUGGGGCAUCAUCCAUAGAUGUGCAUCAUUUAUGCCUUGGAGCAUCUUCCAUACCUGGGGAAUCAUCCACUGCUGGGACAUCAUCCACUGCUGUGGCAUCAUCCACACCUGGAGCAUCAUCCAUGCCUGGGGCAUCAUCCAUAGCUGGGCAUCAUUUAUGCCUGGGGCAUCUUCCACACCUGGGACAUCAUCCAUGCCUGGGGCAUCAUCCACUGCUGGGACAUUUAUGCCUGGGGCAUCAUCCACUGCUGGGACAUCAUCCACUUCUGUGGCAUCAUCCACGCCUGGGGCAUCAUCCACUGCUGUGGCAUCAUCCACGCCUGGGGCAUCAUCCACUGCUGGGACAUCAUCCACUGCUGGGACACCAUCCAUGCCUGGAACAUCAUCCACUGCUGGGACAUCAUCCACUGCUGGGACAUCCACACCUGGAGCAUCAUCCACGCCUGGGGCAUCAUCCACUGCUGGGACAUCAUCCAGUGCUGGGACAUUUACGUCUGGGGCAUCAUCCACUGCUGGGGCAUCAUCCACUGCUGGGUCAUCAUCUACGCCUGGGGUAUCAUUUACUGCUUGGGCAUUAUCCAUCCCUGGGGCAUCAUCCACGCCUGGAGCAUCAUCCACACCUGGGGCAUCAUCCAUUGCUGGAACAUCAUCAACUGCUGGGACAUCAUCCACUGCUGGGACAUCAUCCACUGCUGUGGCAUCAUCCACGCCUGGGGCAUCAUCCAUAGAUAGGCAUCAUUUAUGCCUGGAGCAUCUUCCACACCUGGGGCAUCAUCCACUGCUGCGGCAUUCACACCUGGGCAUCAUCCAUGCCUGGAACAUCAUCCAAACCUGGGGCAUCAUCCACGCCUGGGGCAUCAUCCACUGCUGGGAGAUCAUCCAUGCCUGGAACAUCAUCCACUGCUGGGACAUCAUCCACUGCUGGGACAUUUACACCUGGCACAUCAUCCACUGCUGUGGCAUCAUCCAUGCCUGGGGCAUCAUCCAUAGAUGUGCAUCAUUUAUGCCUUGGAGCAUCUUCCAUACCUGGGGAAUCAUCCACUGCUGGGACAUCAUCCACGGCUGUGGCAUCAUCCACACCUGGGGCAUCAUCCACUGCUGGGACAUCCAUGCCUGGGGCAUCAUCCACACCUGGGGCAUCAUCCACUGCUGGGAUAUCAUUCACUGCUGGGACAUUUACACCUGGGGCAUCAUCCAUGCCUGGGGCAUCAUCCACUGCUGGGACAUCAUCUACACCUUAGGCAUCCAUUGCUGGGGCAUCAUCCACUCCUGGGGCAUCAUCCAUGCCUGGGACAUCAUCCACGUUUCAGGUAUCAUCCACGCCUGGGACAUCAUUCACACCUUGGGCAUCAUCCACGCCUGGGGCAUCAUCCACUGCUGGGACAGCAUCCACUUCUGUGGCAUCAUCCACGCCUGGGGCAUCAUCCACUGCUGGGACAUCAUCCACGCCUGGGACAUCAUCCACGUGGGGGGCAUCAUCCACACCUGGGGCAUCAUCCAUGCCUGGGACAUCAUCCACUGCUGGGACAUCCACGCCUGUGGCAUCAUCCACACCUGGAGCAUCAUCCACUGCUGGGGAAUCAUCGACACCUGGGACGUCAUCCACUGCUGGUGCAUCAUCCACUGCUGGGAUAUCAUCCACCCCUAG
ensembl:lncRNA